rnacentral:misc_RNA from 1 species
GAUGAAGAACGUAGCGAAAUGCGAUAAGUAAUGUGAAUUGCAGAAUUCAGUGAAUCAUCGAAUCUUUGAACGCACAUUGCGCCCGCCAGUAUUCUGGCGGGCAUGCCUGUUCGAGCGUCAUUUCAACCAUCAAGCCCCAGGCUUGUGUUGGGGACCUGCGGCUGCCGCAGGCCCUGAAAAUCAGUGGCGGGCUCGCUAGUCACUCCGAGCGUAGUAGCAUACAUCUCGCUCUGGGCGUGCUGCGGGUUCCGGCCGUUAAACCACCUUUUAACCCAAGGUUGACCUCGGAUCAGGUAGGAAGACCCGCUGAACUUAAGCAUAUCAAUAAGCGGAGGA